AUGAACGCUGGCGGCGUGCCUCAUACCUGCCAGUCGAGCGAACGGACGAGAAGCUUGCUUCUCUGAUGUUAGCGGCGGACGGGUGAGUAACACGUGGAUAACCUACCUAUAAGCCUGGGAUAACUUCGGGAAACCGGAGCUAAUACCGGAUGAUAUUUUGAACCGCAUGGUUCAAAAGUGAAAGACGGUCUUGCUGUCACUUAUAGAUGGAUCCGCGCUGCAUUAGCUAGUUGGUAAGGUAACGGCUUACCAAGGCAACGAUGCAUAGCCGACCUGAGAGGGUGAUCGGCCACACUGGAACUGAGACACGGUCCAGACUCCUACGGGAGGCAGCAGUAGGGAAUCUUCCGCAAUGGGCGAAAGCCUGACGGAGCAACGCCGCGUGAGUGAUGAAGGUCUUCGGAUCGUAAAACUCUGUUAUUAGGGAAGAACAUAUGUGUAAGUAACUGUGCACAUCUUGACGGUACCUAAUCAGAAAGCCACGGCUAACUACGUG
rnacentral:rRNA from 1 species